AUGAACGCCGGCGGCGUGCCCAAUACAUGCAAGUCGAGCGAACGGACGAGAAGCUUGCUUUUCUGAUGUUAGCGGCGGACGGGUGAGUAACACGUGGAUAACCUACCUAUAAGACUGGGAUAACUUCGGGAAACCGGAGCUAAUACCGGAUAAUAUUUUGAACCGCAUGGUUCAAAAGUGAAAGACGGUCUUGCUGUCACUUAUAGAUGGAUCCGCGCUGCAUUAGCUAGUUGGUAAGGUAACGGCUUACCAAGGCAACGAUGCAUAGCCGACCUGAGAGGGUGAUCGGCCACACUGGAACUGAGACACGGUCCAGACUCCUACGGGAGGCAGCAGUAGGGAAUCUUCCGCAAUGGGCGAAAGCCUGACGGAGCAACGCCGCGUGAGUGAUGAAGGUCUUCGGAUCGUAAAACUCUGUUAUUAGGGAAGAACAUAUGUGUAAGUAACUGUGCACAUCUUGACGGUACCUAAUCAGAAAGCCACGGCUAACUACGUG
rnacentral:rRNA from 1 species